UUUAUUUAUUUUUAAAAUCCCUUCCUAGUGAGAUCGCUGAGGCUCAACUUGCUCCAUCUGCAGAAUGUCAGUAAUCUUACCUCUCAUGGGCUGGCUGUGAUUAGAUGCCCCCGUGACUGACACCUGGGACACCAGAGCUACCUGAUUAAGCUUGGUGGGCUCCACGUGUGUUCAUUUAUUCAGCAUGUCACAGGCACAAAUGCACUGCGCUGAGCAUCAAGGGGAGUUAAAACCCACACAGGACCCGGGGCAGCACAUGGCUCAGUCUCCAAAGGGAGCUGCAUGGAGAGAUGCUUGGACUUGAGGGAGCCGGGAGGGAGGGGAGUUGCCCUUGGUCUCGACAAGUCUGUGGUCAGGAUCGUGAUGACCCAGUAACUUUCCUCCAAGAUCAGUGUUCUCAGGAUUAAGUCCUAACCAUCCAUCCAUUGCUGGAACAUUGUUGAAGACCUACUAUGUGUCUGCACUGUGAAAGAGGUGGGGACUACACAGGCCUUUCUUAGCCCCACCCCCACCCCACCCCAUCUCUGCUUCCAUCCUCUCCUUGGGAGAAUCCCUGUCCCAGGAGAUCCGGGGACUAGGAGGAGCUGCAGGAGACUACGUCAGAGCUUCACGGUGUCUCUCUGCAGAGGUCCUGGCCCCUCUCAGCAUGUGGAAAAGGUGAAAACCUGCAUUUGCUUCCCAAGCCUGCGGCCAGUGGGGCUGGGCUCCUGGGACACUGAAGACUUGGAAACUGAGGCACAGAGAGGCUAAGCCUCUUGUUCAAGUUCACACAGCACGUAAGCAGCGAGUGUGGGACUCCAGAGCCACAUGUCACCAGAAUCUUUGUAGAAAGUCGGUGCCUGGAGAGGGAUGGGUCUCAGCGAAGUGUCCACGAUGGUCACAGGAGGAGGAAGGGGGACCUCAGGGCUCGAGCCUCAAGCCCUCACUCUAUGGGAAGCAGCUCCAGCAUCACCUCUUCCCUCCUGGGCCUGCCACCACCCUGCUCAUCUACCUUUCUCCUGGAAUUCCAGGUUUUCCUGGUUGAUCGCUGUGACUCCAGGAACUACAUCAGCCCAUGAAAGCAGGACCUGGUCUGUCCAGUUCAGGGCCAUGGCCCCGGCCCGUGUCAGUACUUAAUACAUUUUGGCGAAAGAUC